rnacentral:rRNA from 1 species
UACGUAGGGGGCAAGCGUUGUUCGGAAUUACUGGGCGUAAAGGGCGCGUAGGCGGCAUGGCAAGUCAGGAGUGAAAGGCCUGGGCUCAACCGAGGAACUGCUUUUGAUACUGCCAAGCUGGAGUGCGGAAGGGGCAACUGGAAUUCUCGGUGUAGCGGUGAAAUGCGUAGAUAUCGAGAGGAACACCUGCGGCGAAGGCGGGUUGCUGGGCUGACACGUGACGCUGAGGCGCGAAAGCUAGGGGAGCGAACGGG